AAUUUUGAGGGAAGCUUGGUAAUAUUAUGUGAAGGCUGCACAAAAAAAUCCCGGUCAAAAAUCGCAGGUUUUCUCCGUUUUUCAUUUUUUUUGAAUUUCCGGCAUUCCGGGCGGUAAAAAAAUCGUCAAAAAAAAUCGGCACGGUGUAAAUUCACCAAAUUUGGAGGAUGGAAAGUUCUUAUUUUUCUAGAGGUUUUUGCAAAAAACGGCGUCAAAAUUCGUCCUCUAGAGCACUUUCCUUUAGUAUGUCUCCUCACGGAAAAGGACGUCUACCCGUGGCACUUUGGUAAUGGCUCGGCAGCCUAUUAUAGGGGGGAGGGGUGUCGUGAUGCUGAAACUCGAGUUGCCCAAAGGCUUGCUGGGCGCAAUGCCAGCAAGAUGCACGUUGCCUUGCCAUCCCCUAGGCACACUAGCAAGCACGUUGUGGUUGUGGUGUGCCGCCGGGCUCCCCUGCCCCCCACGGAGGCACCCGCCGUUGCAACGAUGGCUCGGAGCGUUGCAACGGAGGAGCCAAAUUUUCAUAUCUCAGAAUUGGCUCGUGCAUUUUUCGUGAAAUUUUGAGGGAACCUUGGUAAUAUUAUGUGAAGGCUGCACAAAAAAAUCCAGGUCAAAAAUCGCACGUUUGCUCCGUUUUUCAUUUUUUUUGAAUUUCUGGCUUUCCGGGCGGUAAAAAAAUCGGCAAAAAAAAUCGGCACGGUGUAAAUUCACCAAAUUUGGGGGAUGGAAAGAUCUUAUUUUUCUAGAGGUUGUUGCAAAAAACGGCGUCAAAAUUCGACCUCUAGAGCACUUUCCUUUAGUAUGUCUCCUCACGGAAAAGGACGUCUACCCGUGGCACUUUGGUAAUGGCUCGGCAGCCUAUUAUAGGGGUCACGCUGCUGACGCUGCUGAAACUCGAGUUGCCCAAAGGCUUGCUGGGCGCAAUGCCAGCAAGAUGCACGUUGCCUUGUCAUCCCCUAGG
rnacentral:lncRNA from 1 species